rnacentral:rRNA from 1 species
AGAGUUUGAUCCUGGCUCAGGACGAACGCUGGCGGCGUGCCUAACACAUGCAAGUCGAACGCGAAAGGGGGCUUGCCCCCGAGUAAAGUGGCGCACGGGUGAGUAUCACGUGGGUAACCAACCCCUAGGUGGGGGAUAACGGCCCGAAAGGGACGCUAAUCCCGCAUAAGACCACGAUAGCACAGGCUAUUGGGGCCAAAGGAGAAAUUCGCCUAGGGACGGGCCCGCGUCCCAUCAGCUAGUUGGUAGGGUAACGGCCUACCAAGGCAGUGACGGGUAGCUGGUCUGAGAGGAUGAUCAGCCACACUGGGACUGGAACACGGCCCAGACUCCUACGGGAGGCAGCAGUGAGGAAUUUUGGACAAUGGGCGAAAGCCUGAUCCAGCAACGCCGCGUGAGUGAUGAAGGCCCUCGGGUUGUAAAGCUCUUUCAGGGGGAACGAGGAAGGACGGUACCCCCACAAGAAGCACCGGCUAACUCCGUGCCAGCAGCCGCGGUAAUACGGAGGGUGCGAGCGUUGUCCGGAAUCACUGGGCGUAAAGCAGGUGCAGGCGGCCUGUUGUGUCGGGUGUGAAAUCCCGUGGCUCAACCACGGAACUGCGCCCGAAACUGAUGGGCUUGAGUGCGAGAGGGGAUGGUGGAAUUCUCGGUGUAGAGGUGAAAUUCGUAGAUAUCGAGAGGAAUACCGGUGGCGAAGGCGACCAUCUGGCUCGUUUCUGACGCUCAGACCUGAAAGCGUGGGUAGCAAACAGAAUUAGAUACUCUGGUAGUCCACGCAGUAAACGAUGGAUACUAGGUGUUGGGGGUGUCGAUUCCCUCAGUGCCGAAGUUAACGCAUUAAGUAUCCCGCCUGGGAAGUACGGCCGCAAGGCUAAAACUCAAAGGAAUUGACGGGGGCCCGCACAAGCGGU